rnacentral:rRNA from 1 species
CCUACGGGUGGCAGCAGUGGGGAAUAUUGCACAAUGGUGGAAACCCUGAUGCAGCGACGCCGCGUGAGUGAAGAAGUAUUUCGGUAUGUUAAGCUCUAUCAGCCGGGGAGAAAAUGACGGUACCUGACUACGAAUCCCCGGCUAACUACGUACCGGCCGCCCCGAGAAUACGUAGGGGGCCAGCGUUAUCCGGAUUUACUGGGUGUAAAGGGGGCGUAGACGGGAGCACAGGUCUGGAGUGAAAUGCCGGGGCUUAACCCCGGAACCGCGGUGGAAACUGUGCAGCUAGAGUGGGAGAGAGGUAAGUGGAAUGCGUAGUGUAGCGGUGAAAUGCGUAGAUAUUAGGAGGAACACCAGUGGCGAAGGCAGCUUGCUGGACUGUCACUGACGUUGAGGCUCGAAAGCGUGGGGAGCAAACAGGAUUAGAUACCCUAGUAGUC